CAUAUCUAAAAAUCACCAGUUAGUGUAAGAUUGAAGUAAGCAUGUGUCUCGAUAUUUACUACGUAUGCUGCGUUAUCUACUUUUUGGCUGGUUACAAGUGAUUAGAUAUUUACAAAUUCGCUGCACUAUCUACUUGUACAAUCCCCCUUGUACCGUUUUUUAGGUAAUGCGUCUAAUCCUUCCCAGAACUACGAGGCUUCGGAUGAGACACCUAUGUGAUGACUGACUGCAUCGGUUCUUCAAACGGCACUGAAUAAUCCAAAACCUUUCUUGUUACGAGUACAUUUGAGUAAUGUACCGCAGUUAAUU